AACGCUAGCUACAGGCUUAACACAUGCAAGUCGAGGGGUAGCAGGGUAGCAAUACCGCUGACGACCGGCGCACGGGUGAGUAACACGUAUCCAACCUUCCCAUAACUCGGGGAUAGCCUUUCGAAAGAAAGAUUAAUACCCGAUGGUACUUAUAUAAGGCAUCUUAAAUAAGUUAAAGAUUUAUUGGUUAUGGAUGGGGAUGCGUUCCAUUAGAUAGUUGGUGAGGUAACGGCUCACCAAGUCUUCGAUGGAUAGGGGUUCUGAGAGGAAGGUCCCCCACAUUGGUACUGAGACACGGACCAAACUCCUACGGGAGGCAGCAGUGAGGAAUAUUGGUCAAUGGGCGAGAGCCUGAACCAGCCAAGUAGCGUGAAGGAUGAAGGUCCUAUGGAUUGUAAACUUCUUUUAUAGUAGAAUAAAGUGANCCACGUGUGGAUUUUUGUAUGUAUACUAUGAAUAAGGAUCGGCUAACUCCGUGCCAGCAGCCGCGGUAAUACGGAGGAUCCGAGCGUUAUCCGGAUUUAUUGGGUUUAAAGGGUGCGUAGGCGGAAUAAUAAGUCAGUUGUGAAAGUUUGCGGCUCAACCGUAAAAUUGCAGUUGAUACUGUUAUUCUUGAGUGUACAUAAGGUAGGCGGAAUUCGUGGUGUAGCGGUGAAAUGCUUAGAUAUCACGAAGAACUCCGAUUG
rnacentral:rRNA from 1 species